rnacentral:lncRNA from 1 species
AUGCCCAGAGGGCGGAGUUCCUGGCGUUUCCUACCGCCUCACCGGAGAACCUGCCCUGGGUUUCGCGGCAUCCAACAGAGAAAGAGAGAGAGAGAGCAAGAAAGAGCCGUCGGAAAAGCCACGCGAGCGACCCAGAUCCCCGGAAUAAAUGGACAGAAGGACGAGGCCCUUUCGAGAUUACCAUUCGAGGAGAAGAAGGAGAGGGCAAACGAGGAAGCAAGGAAAUCUUUGCGUCGCCGAAAAUCUUUUCCUUGUCUUUUGAAAGGGGUGGAGGAGAGAAAGAAGUACCUGCUGCCGACAGAAAGGAGAACCACUGCAAUCCGAUCUGCUUGGCCGACCUUCAAGCCCUUUCCGAGCUGGAGUCAGGGUUAUUUCCUGACUUGCAGCAACACUUUCAGAAGAUGA